GAUCCUGGCUCAGGAUGAACGCUGGCGGCGUGCCUAACACAUGCAAGUCGAGCGAAGCGGUUUUAAGGAAGUUUUCGGAUGGAAUUAAAACUGACUGAGCGGCGGACGGGUGGGUAAACGGCGUGGGUAACCUGCCUCAUACAGGGGGAUAACAGUUAGAAAUGGCUGCUAAUACCGCAUAAGCACACAGCUUCGCAUGGAGCAGUGUGAAAAACUCCGGUGGUAUGAGAUGGACCCGCGU
rnacentral:rRNA from 1 species